AACUUUCGGCACUGGAUCACUUGGCUCUCGCAUCGAUGAAGAACGCAGCGAAAUGCGAUAAGUAAUGUGAAUUGCAGAAUUCAGUGAAUCAUCGAAUCUUUGAACGCACCUUGCACCCUUUGGCAUUCCGAAGGGUAUGCUCGUUUGAGUGUCAUUGUACUCUCACACUCCCGAUGCUUUUGGAUUGGGAGUGGUGGACUUGGGUGUUGCUGCUUUACUGUGGCUCACCUCAAAUGGAGUAGUGCAACUCUUGGUUGGACAUAGUACGGCGUGAUAAGUGUCUUCGCCGGCGCCUCAUUAGAGGGUGGCCGAUCGGGAGCUCUGUGCUUCAAACCGUCUUCGGACAACAUCUGACAACUUGACCUCAAAUCGAGUAGGACUACCCGCUGAACUUAAGCAUAUCAAUAAGCGGAGGCU
rnacentral:misc_RNA from 1 species